rnacentral:tRNA from 1 species
GGUGCUAAAGUGUAGUGGUACACUCAAGAUCCUUGUAUUUCGAAGGGAAAACAGAAUAUUCUUGAAUUUCAGGUUCAAGUCCUGGUAGUGCCU